rnacentral:tRNA from 1 species
GACUUAGGUGGCGCAACGGUAGCGCGUCUGACUCCAGAUCAGAAGGUUGCGUGUUCGAAAUCACGUCCGGGUCA